rnacentral:rRNA from 1 species
UGAAUACGAGACGCUAAGGCGUCGAAGUAGUGUAUGUCAUACUUCCAAGAAAAGCUUGCACUGUCAUAAGUAAAAAAUGCCUGUACCAUAACCGACACAGGUGGGUAGGUAGAGUAUACUAAGGGGCGCGAGAUAACUCUCUCUAAGGAACUCGGCAAAAUAACUCCGUAACUUCGGGAGAAGGAGUGCCUUAUUUAUAAGGUUGCAAUAACAAGAUCCAAGCAACUGUUUAUCAAAAACACAGGUCUCCGCUAAGUCGCAAGACGAUGUAUGGGGGCUGACGCCUGCCCAGUGCCAGAAGGUUAAAGAAGUUGGUUAGCACUUGCGAAGCUGAUAACUGAAGCCCUGGUGAACGGCGGCCGUAACGAUAACGGUCCUAAGGUAGCGAAAUUCCUUGUCGGGUAAGUUCCGACCCGCACGAAAGGCGUAAUGAUUUGGAUACUGUCUCGGAGAGGGGCUCGGUGAAAUAGACUUGUCUGUGAAGAUGCGGACUACCUGCACCGGGACAGAAAGACCCUAUGAAGCUUUACUGUAACUUGAAAUUGAAAUUGGACUUUAUUUGCGCAGUAUAGGUGGGAGGCGUUGAUUGUAAUCUUGCGGGAUUAUUGGAGCCAUCAGUGAGAUACCACUCUUGUAAUGUUAGAUUUCUAACUUUGUAUCAUUAUCUGGUCAAAGAACAGUUUCAGGCGGGCAGUUUGACUGGGGCGGUCGCCUCCUAAACGGUAACGGAGGCGUACAAAGGUUUCCUCUGAACGGUUAGAAAUCGUAUCUAGAGUGUAAAGGCAUAAGGAAGCUUGACUGUGAGACCUACAAGUCGAGCAGGGACGAAAGUCGGUCUUAGUGAUCUGACGGUACUGAGUGGAAAGGCCGUCACUCAACGGAUAAAAGUUACUCUAAUGAUAACAGGCUGAUCUCCCCCAAGAGUUCACAUCGACGGGGAGGUUUGGCACCUCGAUGUCGGCUCAUCGCAUCCUGGGGCGGUAGUACGUCCCAAGGGUUAGGCUGUUCGCCCAUGAAAGCGGUACGCGAGCUGGGUUCAGAACGUCGUGAGACAGUUCGGUCCAUAUCCGGUGUAGGCGUUAGAAUAUUGAGAGGAGCCUUCUUUAGUACGAGAGGACCGAGAGGGACAUACCUCUGGUGUACCAGUUAUCGUGCCAACGGUAAACGCUGGGUAGCUAUGUAUGGAGUGGAUAACCGCUGAAAGCAUCUAAGUGGGAAGCCCACCUCAAGAUAAG